GCUACUGUUACAGAGUCUCUGGAGUUGUUCAUCAGGAACUUUAGCACCUCCCACAGCCCACUGCAGAGACGCCUGGUGGGGAGGAGAGAGGAGGAGGAGGAGAGGCCCCAGAAGAGACCCUCAUCUCAGAGCUGACCACCACCUCUUUCCUUACCACUGUCAUGGAUCCUCACAGGGAUGUGGUGCUGUUCUACU